UUUUUUAAGAGUUUGAUCCUGGCUCAGGAUGAACGCUAGCGGCAAGCCUAACACAUGCAAGUUGAGGGGUAAUAUAUAAUUUUAGGAAACUAAUAUUAUAUAACGACCGGCGAACGGGUGAGUAAUACUUAUGUAAUUUACCUUUUGUUAGAGGAUAGCCUAAAUAACUUUAGAAUAAUACUCUAUAAAGUAAUAUAUUACUAGGAUAUAUUAUA
rnacentral:rRNA from 1 species